rnacentral:hammerhead_ribozyme from 1 species
AGCCGAAACAGAGAAGAAAUUCUCUGUCAUGGGAGGGUGAUGCCUCCUGUCUGAUGAUGGCAGUCGAAA